CAGAUACCUGAGGGAGGAGACUGACUGGAAGACAAUUGGUUAAACAUGCUUCAUACAUGUGGGGGAAUUUUCUUCAGCAUCUUACACAUGGGCUACUCCUCCCAUGAGAUAGGCAUGCGUAAUAGGACUGACAAGAGUGAAGACUUGUUUGUGGCUGUAAGUAUAUGAUUGAGGUUGCGGUAGUCAUUCUUUUUUUUUUAACAAAGUUUGGUAAUGUAUGCCUGAAUACUAUAUAUUUAUAAAAGGAGAAACUACUGUCCGGGGACUCUUAGUGAUGGCCGUGUAAGGGGUGUUUUCCCUUCAGUACUUUUUCUGUUUUAUGGAAUGUGUCACAGUUUCAGCUCUGUCUCCUUGUAAUCUUCCACUUAGCCUGCCCCCUCCUCACUCCACCUGUCAGCCACUCCCUCCUCAUCAGCCAGACUCUCUUCACCUGUUUACCCAGCUGUCCUUGAUCACUAAUCACACACCUGUGUCUCAUCACCUCAUUUGACUCUCUGUAUUUAAACCCUUUGUGUCUCUUUCCUCAGUGCCAUAUUGUCAGUGUACCAUGUGUCCUACUCUCCAGUGUUUUCCUAGUGUGCUUUUUGGUUUUGACCCUUGCCUGUUUUUGGACUCUGCCUUUGCCUUAUCCCUUUGGAUUGUUUGCCUGCCUUGCCUGACUGAACUCCCGUGUACCGAACCUUUGCCUGUGAUUAAAGACUGGUUACCUCCUGA